GACGAACGCUGGCGGCGUGCCUAAUACAUGCAAGUAGAACGCUGAAGCUUGGUGCUUGCACCGAGCGGAUGAGUUGCGAACGGGUGAGUAACGCGUAGGUAACCUGCCUGGUAGCGGGGGAUAACUAUUGGAAACGAUAGCUAAUACCGCAUAAGAGUAGAUGUUGCAUGACAUUUGCUUAAAAGGUGCAAUUGCAUCACUACCAGAUGGACCUGCGUUGUAUUAGCUAGUUGGUGAGGUAACGGCUCACCAAGGCAACGAUACAUAGCCGACCUGAGAGGGUGAUCGGCCACACUGGGACUGAGACACGGCCCAGACUCCUACGGGAGGCAGCAGUAGGGAAUCUUCGGCAAUGGACGGAAGUCUGACCGAGCAACGCCGCGUGAGUGAAGAAGGUUUUCGGAUCGUAAAGCUCUGUUGUAAGAGAAGAACGAGUGUGAGAGUGGAAAGUCACACUGUGACGUAUCUACCAGAA
rnacentral:rRNA from 1 species